CGUUCAAACACCGGUUCUCGUACGAUCACUGAAGUUAAACAACGUCGAGUCUGGUUAGUACCAAGAUGGGUGACCGUUUCGGAAUACCCGGUGCUGUAAG
rnacentral:rRNA from 1 species